AUUGAACGCUGGCGGCAGGCCUAACACAUGCAAGUCGAACGAGUGGCGGACGGGUGAGUAAUGUCUGGGAAACUGCCUGAUGGAGGGGGAUAACUACUGGAAACGGUAGCUAAUAACGCAUACCAUCGGAUGUGCCCAGAUGGGAAUAGCGAGGAGGUGGGGUAAAGGCUCACCUAGGCGACGAUCCCUAGCUGGUCUGAGAGGAUGACCAGCUACACUGCAACUGGUACACCGUCCAGACCCCUACGGUCGCCAGCAGUGGGGAAUAUUUCACAUUGGGCUCCAGCCUGAUGCAGCCAUGCCGCGUUUGUGAUGUAGGCCUUCGGGGUGUAUAGUACUUUCAGCGGGUAGGCGUUACCCGCAUAAGAAGCACCGGCUAACUCCGUGCCAGCGGCCGCGGUAAUUC
rnacentral:rRNA from 1 species